AUUGAACGCUGGCGGCAUGCUUUACACAUGCAAGUCGAACGGUAACAGCACUUCGGUGGCUGACGAGUGGCGAACGGGUGAGUAAUACAUCGGAACGUGCCUAGUAGUGGGGGAUAACUACUCGAAAGAGUAGCUAAUACCGCAUGAGAUCUAAGGAUGAAAGCAGGGGACCUUCGGGCCUUGCGCUACUAGAGCGGCUGAUGGCAGAUUAGGUAGUUGGUGGGAUAAAAGCUUACCAAGCCGACGAUCUGUAGCUGGUCUGAGAGGACGACCAGCCACACUGGGCCUGAGCCCCGCCCCAGCCUCCUACGGGGGGCAGCGGUGGGGAAUUUUGGACAAUGGGCGCAAGCUUGUCCCAGCAAUGCCCCGUGCAGGAUGAAGGCCUUCGGGUGGUAACCUGCUUUUGUACGGACCGAAAAGCCUCUUCUAAUACAGGAGGGUCAUGACGGUACCGUAAGAAUAAGCACCGGCUAACUACGUG
rnacentral:rRNA from 1 species